rnacentral:rRNA from 1 species
GACGAACGCUGGCGGCGUGCCUAAUACAUGCAAGUCGAACGAACUCUGGUAUUGAUUGGUGCUUGCAUCAUGAUUUACAUUUGAGUGAGUGGCGAACUGGUGAGUAACACGUGGGAAACCUGCCCAGAAGCGGGGGAUAACACCUGGAAACAGAUGCUAAUACCGCAUAACAACUUGGACCGCAUGGUCCGAGUUUGAAAGAUGGCUUCGGCUAUCACUUUUGGAUGGUCCCGCGGCGUAUUAGCUAGAUGGUGAGGUAACGGCUCACCAUGGCAAUGAUACGUAGCCGACCUGAGAGGGUAAUCGGCCACAUUGGGACUGAGACACGGCCCAAACUCCUACGGGAGGCAGCAGUAGGGAAUCUUCCACAAUGGACGAAAGUCUGAUGGAGCAACGCCGCGUGAGUGAAGAAGGGUUUCGGCUCGUAAAACUCUGUUGUUAAAGAAGAACAUAUCUGAGAGUAACUGUUCAGGUAUUGACGGUAUUUAACCAGAAAGCCACGGCUAACUACGUGCCAGCAGCCGCGGUAAUACGUAGGUGGCAAGCGUUGUCCGGAUUUAUUGGGCGUAAAGCGAGCGCAGGCGGUUUUUUAAGUCUGAUGUGAAAGCCUUCGGCUCAACCGAAGAAGUGCAUCGGAAACUGGGGAACUUGAGUGCAGAAGAGGACAGUGGAACUCCAUGUGUAGCGGUGAAAUGCGUAGAUAUAUGGAAGAACACCAGUGGCGAAGGCGGCUGUCUGGUCUGUAACUGACGCUGAGGCUCGAAAGUAUGGGUAGCAAACAGGAUUAGAUACCCUGGUAGUCCAUACCGUAAACGAUGAAUGCUAUGUGUUGGAGGGUUUCCGCCCUUCAGUGCUGCAGCUAACGCAUUAAGCAUUCCGCCUGGGGAGUACGGCCGCAAGGCUGAAACUCAAAGGAAUUGACGGGGGCCCGCACAAGCGGUGGAGCAUGUGGUUUAAUUCGAAGCUACGCGAAGAACCUUACCAGGUCUUGACAUACUAUGCAAAUCUAAGAGAUUAGACGUUCCCUUCGGGGACAUGGAUACAGGUGGUGCAUGGUUGUCGUCAGCUCGUGUCGUGAGAUGUUGGGUUAAGUCCCGCAACGAGCGCAACCCUUAUUAUCAGUUGCCAGCAUUAAGUUGGGCACUCUGGUGAGACUGCCGGUGACAAACCGGAGGAAGGUGGGGAUGACGUCAAAUCAUCAUGCCCCUUAUGACCUGGGCUACACACGUGCUACAAUGGAUGGUACAACGAGUUGCGAACUCGCGAGAGUAAGCUAAUCUCUUAAAGCCAUUCUCAGUUCGGAUUGUAGGCUGCAACUCGCCUACAUGAAGUCGGAAUCGCUAGUAAUCGCGGAUCAGCAUGCCGCGGUGAAUACGUUCCCGGGCCUUGUACACACCGCCCGUCACACCAUGAGAGUUUGUAACACCCAAAGUCGGUGGGGUAACCUUUUAGGAACCAGCCGCCUAAGGUGGGACAGAUGAUUAGGGUG